UACAGACCUGCGGUGACUCACUAAU
rnacentral:piRNA from 1 species